AGUGAACGCUGGCGGUAGGCCUAACACAUGCAAGUCGAACGGCAGCACAGUAAGAGCUUGCUCUUACGGGUGGCGAGUGGCGGAUGGGUGAGGAGUACAUCGGAAUCUACUUUUUCGUGGGUUAUAACGUAGGGAAACUUACGCUAAUACCGCAUACGACCUACGGGUGAAAGCAGGGGAUCUUCGGACCUUGCGCGAUUGAAUGAGCCGAUGUCGGAUUAGCGAGUUGGCGGGGUAAAGGCCUACCAAGGCGACGAUCCGUAGCUGGUCUGAGAGGAUGAUGAGCCACACUGGAACUGAGACACGGUCCAGACUCCUACGGGAGGCAGCAGUGGGGAAUAUUGGACAAUGGGCGCAAGACUGCUCCAGCCAUGCCGCGUGGGUGAAGAAGGCCUUCGGGUUGUAAAGCCCUUUUGUUGGGGAAGAAAAGCAGCAGGUUAAUACACCGCUGUUGUGACGGUACCCAAAGAAUAAGCACCGGCUAACUUCGUG
rnacentral:rRNA from 1 species